GUUGUUGUUGGUGGUGGGAAAGUAUCUACUACAUAUCCAUGUGUUCAUAGUCACCAUCACUGUCACCAUCAUGACAGCGCCUUGACAAUCAUCGCUUUCUUCU